UGUAGCUUCCUUGGGAGGGUGGAGGGUGUGGGAAGUGACUCUUUCCAAACAUUUCCAUCUUAUUUUCUCCUAGGAUGCCCAUCCAGGCAACCUGCAUUGCAUAUGUUUUUUGAGGUCCAGAGGCUGGCAGGAAAAGGUUCUACGGGGGCCACACGAGGAUGGAACCACAGAGCAUCACUUAGGGCUCAUCACUCUGGCUUAGACUCAAGGCCAACUAGGACUGCUGACCAUACCUUGCUUACUGUCAGGAAGUCUUCCCUGACUGCACCCAUGAUUGCCUCGGGUGCCUACUGACUGAUGAAUGGCUCUGACUUGGGAACCUUUUGCUGUAGAACACAGUGCCUCUGGGAGCAGAGAACUUCUCGGGCCUGGCGAGACCAAUCUGAGGAACUGGCUGGCACGAGGCAUGAAUGAGCGCCUGGAUGCCCGGUACUUGGGCACAGAACUGCUGGCUAUUGAGUGUUCGGUCAGCUUUUGUCACCAUGGGAGUCAGGCUCUCUCACUGCAGCCACUGCGAACAGGAAUCCCCACCAGGCUUUCCCCGCUGAGCAGCAGAAUCUGAUGUAAACCUCUAAGCAGAGUGACUUGAGUGUCACCAGUCUCUGAAACAUUUCCGAGAGAGAAGCGAGUGAUUGAGCAUCUAUGUGUGUACAUGCUUCUUUCUGUUGCUAAAACACCAGUUUUCUCAUGGAAAAGCCUGUGAACCACUGAGUUAAAACAGGAGCAGAUGGUGCUUUGUGACCACCUAGAGGGGUGGGAUAG